rnacentral:rRNA from 1 species
GAACUGAAGAGUUUGAUCAUGGCUCAGAUUGAACGCUGGCGGCAGGCCUAACACAUGCAAGUCGAGCGGAUGAAGGGAGCUUGCUCCUGGAUUCAGCGGCGGACGGGUGAGUAAUGCCUAGGAAUCUGCCUGRUAGUGGGGGAUAACGUCCGGAAACGGGCGCUAAUACCGCAUACGUCCUGAGGGAGAAAGUGGGGGAUCUUCGGACCUCACGCUAUCAGAUGAGCCUAGGUCGGAUUAGCUAGUUG